GAUGAACGCUGGCGGCGUGCCUAAUACAUGCAAGUCGAGCGAACAGACGAGGAGCUUGCUCCUCUGACGUUAGCGGCGGACGGGUGAGUAACACGUGGAUAACCUACCUAUAAGACUGGGAAAACUUCGGGAAACCGGAGCUAAUACCGGAUAAUAUAUUGAACCGCAUGGUUCAAUAGUGAAAGACGGUUUUGCUGUCACUUAUAGAUGGAUCCGCGCCGCAUUAGCUAGUUGGUAAGGUAACGGCUUACCAAGGCAACGAUGCGUAGCCGACCUGAGAGGGUGAUCGGCCACACUGGAACUGAGACACGGUCCAGACUCCUACGGGAGGCAGCAGUAGGGAAUCUUCCGCAAAGGGCGAAAGCCUGACGGAGCAACGCCGCGUGAGUGAUGAAGGUCUUCGGAUCGUAAAACUCUGUUAUUAGGGAAGAACAAAUGUGUAAGUAACUAUGCACGUCUUGACGGUAACUAAUCAGAAAGCCACGGCUAACUACGUG
rnacentral:rRNA from 1 species